GAUGAACGCUGGCGGCGUGCCUAAUACAUGCAAGUCGAGCGAACAGACGAGGAGCUUGCUCCUCUGACGUUAGCGGCGGACGGGUGAGUAACACGUGGAUAACCUACCUAUAAGACUGGGAUAACUUCGGGAAACCGGAGCUAAUACCGGAUAAUAUAUUGAACCGCAUGGUUCAAUAGUGAAAGACGGUUUUGCUGUCACUUAUAGAUGGAUCCGCGCCGCAUUAGCUAGUUGGUAAGGUAACGGCUUACCAAGGCAACGAUGCGUAGCCGACCUGAGAGGGGGAUCGGCCACACUGGAACUGAGACACGGUCCAGACUCCUACGGGAGGCAGCAGUAGGGAAUCUUCCGCAAAGGGCGAAAGCUUGACGGAGCAACGCCGCGUGAGUGAUGAAGGUCUUCGGAUCGUAAAACUCUGUUAUUAGGGAAGAACAAAUGUGUAAGUAACUAUGCACGUCUUGACGGUACCUAAUCAGAAAGCCACGGCUAACUACGUG
rnacentral:rRNA from 1 species